rnacentral:rRNA from 1 species
AUACGGAGGGUCCGAGCGUUAUCCGGAAUCAUUGGGUUUAAAGGGUCCGUAGGCGGGAAUCUAAGUCAGUGGUGAAAUCUUGCAGCUCAACUGUAAAAUUGCCAUUGAUACUGGAUUUCUUGAAUUAGUGUGAAGUGAUUAGAAUGUGUAGUGUAGCGGUGAAAUGCAUAGAUAUUACACAGAAUACCAAUUGCGAAGGCAGAUCACUAACACUAUAUUGACGCUGAGGGACGAAAGCGUGGGGAGCGAACAGGAUUAGAAACCCCAGUAGUCC